rnacentral:rRNA from 1 species
GACGAACGCUGGCGGCGUGCCUAAUACAUGCAAGUCGAGCGCAGGAAGCUCACGGAACUCUUCGGAGGGAAGUGAAGGGAAUGAGCGGCGGACGGGUGAGUAACACGUAAGGAACCUGCCCCAAGGAUUGGGAUAACUCCGAGAAAUCGGAGCUAAUACCGAAUAGUUCUUCAGACCGCAUGGCCUGAUGAUGAAAGGCGCUUCGGCGUCACCUUGGGAUGGCCUUGCGGUGCAUUAGCUAGUUGGUGGGGUAAUGGCCCACCAAGGCGACGAUGCAUAGCCGACCGGAGAGGGUGAUCGGCCACACUGGGACUGAGACACGGCCCAGACUCCUACGGGAGGCAGCAGUAGGGAAUCUUCCACAAUGGACGAAAGUCUGAUGGAGCAACGCCGCGUGAGUGAUGAAGGUUUUCGGAUCGUAAAACUCUGUUGUAAGGGAAGAACAGGCAUGAGAGGUAAUGCUCAUGCUAUGACGGUACCUUGCGAGAAAGCCACGGCUAACUACGUGCCAGCAGCCGCCGCGGUAA